UGAUGGACAAUUUAAAUUAAAUUUAUUUGAAAGUUAUCCUUUUUAUACGACCGCAAAAAUUAAAAAUAUUUUGGUCGUAUAUUGGUAUGACGUUGGCGUCGUCGUCGUUGUCGUCCGGCGUCGUCCGAAGACACAUUGGUUUUUGCACUCUAACUUUAGUUUAAGUGAAUGGGUCUCCAUGAAAUUUUACCAUAAGGUUCAAUACCACAAAAGGAAGGUUGGGAUUGAUUUUGGGGGUUAUGGUACCAACAGUUAAGGAAUUAGGGGCCAAAAAGGGGCCAAAAAUAAGCAUUUUUGUAACUUUCAGACAAUAACUUGUGUGUAAGUGUAUGGAUCUCUCUGACAUUGUACCACAAGGUUCCAUAUCACAAAGGGAAGGCUGUAAUUGAUUUUGGGGGUAAUUGCCUCAAAAUUUUAGGAAUUAGGGGCCAAAAAAGGGGCAAAAAACAAGCAUUUUUCUAGUUUCAUGACAAUAACUUGUGUGUAAGUGUUUGGAUAUUUCUGAAAUUGUACUACAAGGUUCCAUAUCACAAAGGGAAAGCUGGAAUUGAGUUUGGGGGUAAUUGCCCGAAACGUUUAGGAAUUGGGGGCCAAAAAGGGGCCAAAAAUAAGCAUUUUUCUAGUUUCCAGACAAUAACUUGUGUUCAAGUGUAUGGAUCUCUCUGAAAUUGUACUGCAAGGUACCAUACCACAAAGGGAAGGCUGGGAUUGAGUUUGGGGGUGAUGAAUCAUAAGGGGGUUCAAAAAAUUUGGGGGGGGGAUUUUUUUUUUUUCUUUUUUUUUCUUUUUUUCCUUUUUUUUUUCUUUUAAAAUUUUCCAUUUUAAGUUGGUUAUUUCUGAUUAAUAUUUAAAAGCAAAUAAUAAUGAUAUGGUAGGGGAUACACACCAAACAGGAUGUGUAAAUUAUUAUAUAAUAAGUAUUGUGCAAUAGCAAGAAAUUUUCAAUUGCACAGUAUUGCACAAUUGCAAGAAAUCUUCAAUUGCACAGUAUUGCGCAAUAGCAAGAAAUCUUCAAUUGCACAGUAUUGCGCAAUAGCAAGAAAUAUCCAAUAGCACAAUAUUGCGCAAUAGCAAGAAAUUGUCAAUUGUACAGUAUUGCACAAUAGCAAGAAAUAUUCAAUUGCACAGUAUUGUGCAAAAGAAGAUACUUCGUAUAAAUUGCUUAUUUCUUGAUCAAUUUCAAUGGGGUUUUAUUCUUGAAUUCUUGGGGUUCUUUAAUAUUCUGAAUCUAACCGUGUAAUAAGUUUUUGGAUUUUGGGCCCCGAUUGUAAAUUGGUCCACAUUGAGGUCCAAAGGGUCCAAAAUUUAACUUUGUUUGAUUUCAUCAAAAAUUGAAUAAUUGGGGUUCUUUGAUAUGCCAAAUCUAACCGUGUAUUUAGAUUCUUAAUUUUUGGUUCCGUUUUCAAAUUGGUCUACAUUAAGGUCAAAAGGGUCCAAAAUUAAACUUAGUUUGAUUUUAACAAAAAUUGAAUUUUUUGGGUUCUUUGAUAUGCUGAAUCUAAACAUAUAUUUAGAUUUUUGAUUAUGGGCCCAGUUUUCAAGUUGGUCCAAAUCGGGGUCCAAAAUUAAACUUUGUUUGAUUUCAACAAAAAUUGAAUAUAUGGGGUUCUUUGAUAUGCUGAAUCUAACCAUGUAUUUAGAUUUUUGAUUUUUGGGCCCCGUUAUCAACUGUGUCCACAUUGAGGUCAAAAGGGUCCAAAAUUAAACUUUGUUUGAUUUCAUCAAAAAUUGAAUUCUUGGGGUUCUUUGAUAUGCUGAAUCUAACCAUGUAUUUAGAUUUUUUAUUUGUGGACCCGCUAUCAAAUUGGUUCAUAUUGAGGUCAAAAGGGUCCAAAAUUAAACUUUGUUUGAUUUCAUCAAAAAUUGAAUUAUUGGGGUUCUUUGAUAUGCCAAAUCUAACGGUGUAUUUAGAUUUUUAAUUUUGGGUCCCGUUUUUAAAUUGGUCUACAUUAAGGUCCAAAGGGUCCAAAAUUAAACUUAGUUUGAUUUUAACAAAAAUUGAAUUCUUGGGGUUCUUUGAUAUGCUGAAUCUAAACAUGUGUUUAGAUUUUUGAUUAUGGGCCCAGUUUUCAAGUUGUUCCAAGUUGGGGUCCAAAAUUAAACUUGGUUUGAUUUCAACAAAAAUUGAAUAUAUGGGGUUCUUUGAUAUGCUGAAUCUAAACAUGUAUUAAGAUUUUAGAUUUUUGGCCCAGUUUUCAAGUUGGUCCAAAUUGGGGUCCAAAAUUAAAUUUUGUUUGAUUUCAACAAAAAUUGAAUAUAUGGGGUUCUUUGAUAUGCUGAAUCUUACCAUGUAUUUAGAUUUUUUAUUUGUGGGCCCGCUAUCAAAUUGGUUCAUAUUGAGGUCAAAAGGGUCCAAAAUUAAACUUUGUUUGAUUUCAUCAAAAAUUGAAUUAUUGGGGUUCUUUGAUAUGCCAAAUCUAACCGUGUAUUUAGAUUUUUCCUUUUGGGUCCCGUUUUUUAAAUUGGUCUACAUUAAGGUCCAAAGGGUCCAAAAUUAAACUUAGUUUGAUUUUAACAAAAAUUGAAUUUUUUGGGUUCUUUGAUAUGCUGAAUCUAAACAUGUGUUUAGAUUUUUGAUUAUGGGCCCAGUUUUCAAGUUGGUCCAAGUUGGGGUCCAAAAUUAAACUUUGUUUGAUUUCAACAAAAAUUGAAUAUAUGGGGUUCUUUGAUAUGCUGAAUCUAAACAUGUAUUUAGAUUUUAGAUUUUUGGCCCAGUUUUCAAGUUGGUCCAAAUUGGGGUCCAAAAUUAAACUUGGUUUGAUUUCAACAAAAAUUGAAUAUAUGGGGUUCUUUGAUAUGCUGAAUCUUACCAUGUAUUUAGAUUUUUUAUUUUGUGGGCCCGCUAUCAAAUUGGUUCAUAUUGAGGUCAAAAGGGUCCAAAAUUAAUCUUUGUUUGAUUUCAUCAAAAAUUGAAUUAUUGGGGUUCUUUGAUAUGCCAAAUCUAACCGUGUUUUUAGAUUUUUAAUUUUGGGUCCCGUUUUUUAAAUUGGUGUACAUUAAGGUCCAAAGGGUCCAAAAUUAAACUUAGUUUGAUUUUAACAAAAAUUGAAUUCUUGGGGUACUUUGAUAUGCUGAAUCUAAACAUGUGUUCAGAUUUUUGAUUAUGGGACCAGAUUUCAAGUUUGUCCAAGUUGGGGUCCAAAAUUAAACUUUGUUUGAUUUCAACAAAAAUUGAAUAUAUGGGGUUCUUUGAUAUGCUGAAUCUAACCAUGUAUUUUGAUUUUGGACAUUGGACCAUAAUAGGUAAAUUAAAAAAAUUGAAGUUCUUAGACCACAUUCUUUCUGUGUCAGAAACCUAUGCUGUGUCAAAUAUUUAAUCACAAUCCAAAUUCAGAGCUGUAUCAAGCUUGAAUGUUGUGUCCAUACUUGCCCCAACUGUUCAGGGUUCGACCUCUGCGGUCGUAUCAAGCUGCGCCCAGCGAAGCAUUUUAUUGAUUAUGGGCCCAGUUUUCAAGUUGGUCCAAAUCGGGGUCCAAAAUUAAACUUUGUUUGAUUUCAACAAAAAUUGAAUAUAUGGGGUUCUUUGAUAUGCUGAAUCUAACCAUGUAUUUAGAUUUUUCAUUUUUGGGCCCCGUUAUCAACUUUGUCCACAUUGAGAUCAAAAGGGUCCAAAAUUAAACUUUGUUUGAUUUCAUCAAAAAUUGAAUUCUUCGGGUUCUUUGAUAUGCUGAAUCUAACCGUGUAUUAAGUUUUUGGAUUUUGGGCCCCGUUUUUAAAUUGGUCCACAUUGAGGUCCAAAGGGUACAAAAUUUAACUUUGUUUGAUUUCAUCAAAAAUUGAAUUAUUGGGGUUCUUUGAUAUGCCGAAUCUAACCGUGUAUUUAGAUUCUUAAUUUUUGGUUCCGUUUUCAAAUUGGUCUACGUUAAGGUCCAAAGGGUCCAAAAUUAAACUUAGUUUGAUUUUAACAAAAAUUGAAUUCUUAGGGUUCUUUGAUAUGCUGAAUCUAAACAUGUAUUUAGAUUUUUGAUUAUGGGCCCAGUUUUCAAGUUGGUCCAAAUCGGGGUCCAAAAUUAAACUUUGUUUGAUUUCAACAAAAAUUGAAUAUAUGGGGUUCUUUGAUAUGCUGAAUCUAACCAUGUAUUUAGAUUUUUGAUUUUUGGGCCCCGUUAUCAACUUUGUCCACAUUGAGGUCAAAAGGGUCCAAAAUUAAACUUUGUUUGAUUUCAUCAAAAAUUGAAUUCUUGGGGUUCUUUGAUAUGCUGAAUCUAACCAUGUAUUUAGAUUUUGGAUAUUGGACCAUAAUAGGUGAAUGUCCAAUUUAAAAUUUUUAAGUUCUUAGACCACAUUCAAUCUGUGUUAGAAACCUAUGCUGUGUCAAAUAUUUAAUCACAAUCCAAAUCAAAAGCUGUAUCAAGCUUGAAUGUUGUGUCCAUACUUCCCCCAACUGUUCAGGGUUCGACCUCUGCGGUCGUAUCAAGCUGCGCCCUGCGGAGCAUUUUAUUUAUUUGUGGGCCCUGCUAUCAAAUUGGUUCAUAUUGAGGUCAAAAGGGUCCAAAAUUAAACUUUGUUUGAUUUCAUCAAAACUUGAAUUAUUGGGGUUCUUUGAUAUUCCAAAUAUAACUGUGUAUUUAGAUUUUUAAUUUUGGGUCCCGUUUUUAUACGACCGCAAAAAAUUUUGCGGUCGUAUAUUGGUAUGACGUUGGCGUCGUCCGAAGACACAUUGGUUUUCGCACUCUAACUUUAGUUUAAGUGAAUGGAUCUCUAUGAUAUUUUACCAUAAGGUUCAAUACCACAAAAGGAAGGUUGGGAUUGAUUUUGGGGGUUAUGGUACCAACAGUUAAGGAAUAAGGGGCCAAAAAUAAGCAUUUUUGUAACUUCCAGACAUAACUUGUGUGUUAGUGUAUGGAUCUCUCUGACAUUGUACCACAAGGUUCCAUAUCACUAAAGGAAUGCUGGGAUUGAUUUUGGGGGUAAUUGCCUCCAAAUUUUAGGAAUUAGGGGCCAAAAAAGGGGCAAAAAACAAGCAUUUUUCUAGUUUCAUGACAAUAACUUGUGUGUAAGUGUAUGGAUCUUUCUGAAAUUGUACUACAAGGUUCCAUAUCACAAAGGGAAAGCUGGGUUUGAGUUUGGGGGUAAUUGCCCUAAACGUUUAGGAAUUUGGGGCCAAUAAGGGGCCAAAAAACAUAUUUUUCUAGUUUCCAGACAAUGACUUGUGUUCAAGUGUAUGGAUCUCUCUGAAAUUGUACUGCAAGGUACCAUACCACAAAGGAAAGGCUGGGAUUGAGUUUGGGGGUGAUGAAUCAUAAGGGGGUUCAAAAUAUUUUGGGG